rnacentral:rRNA from 1 species
AUGAACGCUGGCGGCGUGCUUAACACAUGCAAGUCGAACGAAGCACUUAUCUUUGAUUCUUCGGAUGAAGAGGUUUGUGACUGAGUGGCGGACGGGUGAGUAACGCGUGGGUAACCUGCCUCAUACAGGGGGAUAACAGUUAGAAAUGACUGCUAAUACCGCAUAAGACCACAGAGCCGCAUGGCUCGGUGGAAAAAACUCCGGUGGUAUGAGAUGGACCCGCGUCUGAUUAGGUAGUUGGUGGGGUAACGGCCUACCAAGCCAACGAUCAGUAGCCGACCUGAGAGGGUGACCGGCCACAUUGGGACUGAGACACGGCCCAAACUCCUACGGGAGGCAGCAGUGGGGAAUAUUGCACAAUGGGGGAAACCCUGAUGCAGCGACGCCGCGUGAGCGAAGAAGUAUUUCGGUAUGUAAAGCUCUAUCAGCAGGGAAGAAAAUGACGGUACCUGACUAAGAAGCACCGGCUAAAUACGUGCCAGCAGCCGCGGUAAUACGUAUGGUGCAAGCGUUAUCCGGAUUUACUGGGUGUAAAGGGAGCGUAGACGGCUGUGUAAGUCUGAAGUGAAAGCCCGGGGCUCAACCCCGGGACUGCUUUGGAAACUAUGCAGCUAGAGUGUCGGAGAGGUAAGUGGAAUUCCCAGUGUAGCGGUGAAAUGCGUAGAGAUGUGGAGGAACACCAGUGGCGAAGGCGACUUUCUUGUCUGUAACUGACGCUGAUGUGCGAAAGCGUGGGGAUCAAACAGGAUUAGAUACCCUGGUAGUCCACGCCGUAAACGAUGAGUGCUAAGUGUUAGGGGGUUUCCGCCCCUUAGUGCUGCAGCUAACGCAUUAAGCACUCCGCCUGGGGAGUACGACCGCAAGGUUGAAACUCAAAGGAAUUGACGGGGACCCGCACAAGCGGUGGAGCAUGUGGUUUAAUUCGAAGCAACGCGAAGAACCUUACCUGCUCUUGACAUCCCGGUGACCGGCAUGUAAUGAUGCCUUUUCUUCGGAACACCGGUGACAGGUGGUGCAUGGUUGUCGUCAGCUCGUGUCGUGAGAUGUUGGGUUAAGUCCCGCAACGAGCGCAACCCUCGCCAUUAGUUGCUACGCAAGAGCACUCUAAUGGGACCGCUACCGACAAGGUGGAGGAAGGUGGGGACGACGUCAAAUCAUCAUGCCCCUUAUGACUUGGGCUACACACGUGCUACAAUGGCGUAAACAAAGGGAAGCGAGCCUGCGAGGGUAAGCAAAUCUCAAAAAUAACGUCUCAGUUCGGAUUGUAGUCUGCAACUCGACUACAUGAAGCUGGAAUCGCUAGUAAUCGCGAAUCAGCAUGUCGCGGUGAAUACGUUCCCGGGUCUUGUACACACCGCCCGUCACACCAUGGGAGUUGGUAACGCCCGAAGUCAGUGACCCAACCGUAAGGAGGGAGCUGCCGAAGGUGGGACCGAUAACUGGGGUG